AUGGAGUGGGCACUGAGGAAUGUCAUCGACCUUCAGCGAGUAGUGGAAAUUUAUCCUGCCAAUCACGUUGAUGGCCCAUACUGGGUCGUGCAGUCGGAGGAUCAGAUGGAGCUGGUGUUGAAGAAUGACAUCAAUCUUCAGCCUGCACAUGACAAUGACAAAGCAAUGACGGAAGGCGAUUUUGACUGGGACUCUGACAAUGAAUACGUGGUUAGCACAGAUGAUUGGGAUGACAAGGGUGGUUAUCGGGAUUAUUUUUAUUGUCUUGGAUUUCAUCCUUACAAAGAGUUUGUUUUCUUUCAUGGGGCCUCCAGAACAGUGGCCUACAAUUUUGAUACCUGCAAAGUUCUAUACUUGGGUGAGAUGAGGUAA
rnacentral:rRNA from 1 species